UGUUAAAUAUUUCAUUCAUUUGUACUGUUAAAAACUGAUGUGAUCAACGGAGUAGCUAAACAAUGACAAGCGACGUGCCACAUGUACCUCAUGCUGACGUGCAAGGACUAAUUUUUAAUAGUAUAAAUGGAUAAAAAUUUUAACA
rfam:Gossypium raimondii Chr12_contig_811, whole genome shotgun sequence.